rnacentral:tRNA from 1 species
GAGGUAGCUGAUCGUUAUAAAGCCCUCAAAUAACUCGAAAUCAGUUGACGGGCAACCGUCCGUGGGUUCGAAUCCCACCUCCUCCGCCA